UUCCCUGUAGCGCAAUGGAUAGCGCAUUGGACUUCUAAUCCAAAAGUCGUGGGUUCGAAUCCUACCUGAGAUG
rnacentral:tRNA from 1 species